ACUCAAAUGAAUUGACGGGGACCCGCACAAGCGGUGGAGCGUGUUGUUUAAUUCGAUGGUAAACGAAGAACCUUACCCAGGUUUGACAUCCUUGGAAUUUCUUCGAAAGAAGAAAGUGCUUUUAGAGCCAAGUGACAGGUGAUGCAUGGCCGUCGUCAGCUCGUGUCGUGAGAUGUUAGGUUAAGUCCUUUAACGAGCGCAACCCUUUUGUUCAGUUGGAUUUUUCUGAACAGACUGCCCUGGUAACAGGGAGGAAGGAGGGGAUGAUGUCAGGUCCGUAUUUCCCUUACAUCUGGGGCUACAAACACGCUACAAUGGCCGGUACAAAGGGCAGCCAACCCGCAAGGGGGAGCAAAUCCCAUCAAAGCCGGUCUCAGUUCGGAUUGCAGGCUGAAACUCGCCUGCAUGAAGCUGGAAUCGCUAGUAAUGGUAGGUCAGCUAUACUACCGUGAAUACGUUCCCGGGUCUUGCACACACCGCCCGU
rnacentral:rRNA from 1 species